GACGAACGCUGGCGGCGUGCUUAACACAUGCAAGUCGUACGGUAAGGCCCUUUCGGGGGUCCACGAGUGGCGCACGGGUGAGUAACACGUGAGUAACCUGCCCACAACUUUGGGAUAACGCUAGGAAACUGGUGCUAAUACUGGAUAUGUGCUCCUGCUGCAUGGUGGGGGUUGGAAAGCUCCGGCGGUUGUGGAUGGACUCGCGGCCUAUCAGCUUGUUGGUGGGGUAGUGGCCUACCAAGGCGGCGACGGGUAGCGGGCCUGAGAGGGUGACCGGCCACAGUGGGACUGAGGUACGGCCCAGACGCCGACGGGGGGCAGAAGUGGGGAAUAUUGCACAAUGGGCGCAAGCCGGAUGCAGAAACGCCGCGUGCGGGAUGACGGCCUUCGGGUUGUAAACCGCUUUCAGCAGGGACGAAGCUUUUUGUGACGGUACCUGCAGAAGAAGCACCGGCUAACUACGUG
rnacentral:rRNA from 1 species